rnacentral:piRNA from 1 species
UCAAACCUAGACGACUUACCUACAAAUA